rnacentral:piRNA from 1 species
CAUCGCUCACCUUCCCCC